rnacentral:rRNA from 1 species
AGGACGAACGCUUGCGACGUGCCUAAGAAAUGCAAGUCGAACGGGGUAGCAAUACCUAGUGGCGAACGGUCGCGUAACACGUGGGCAACCUGCCCUGAAGCGGGGGACAACAACUCGAAAGAGUUGCUAAUACCGCAUGUGUAUCGGAAUGGCAUCAUUCAGGAUACAAAGCCGCAAGGCACUUCAGGAUGGGCCCGCGGCCUAUCAGCUAGUUGGUGAGGUAACGGCCCACCAAGGCUUCGACGGGUAGCUGGUCUGAGAGGACGAUCAGCCGGAUUGGGACUGAGAUACGGCCCAGACUCCUACGGGGGCAGGCAAUUAGGAAUCUUGCACAAUGGGCGAAAGCCUGAUGCAGCGACGUCGCGUGAGGGAUGAAGUCUUUCGGGACGUAAACCUCUUUUAUCGGGGAAGAAAAAAUGACGGUACCCGAUGAAUAAGCCCGGCUAACUACGUGCCAGCAGCCGC